GCGAACGGGUGAGUAAUGCUUCGGAAUCUUCCCAGUGGUGGGGAAUAACCUGGGGAAACUCAGGCUAAUACCGCAUACGRCCUACGGGUGAAAGCGGGGGACCGCAAGGCCUCGCGCCAUUGGAUGAGCCGAAGUCGGAUUAGCUAGUUGGUGGGGUAAUGGCCUACCAAGGCGACGGUCCGUAGCUGGUCUGAGAGGACGACCAGCCACACUGGGACUGAGACACGGCCCAGACUCCUACGGGAGGCAGCAGUGGGGAAUAUUGGACAAUGGGGGCAACCCUGAUCCAGCGACGGCGCGUGUGUGAAGAAGGCCUGCGGGUUGUAAAGCACUUUUAGUGGGGAUGAAAAGCUCGGGGCUAAUACCUCCGGGUCUUGACCUA
rnacentral:rRNA from 1 species